GUGAACGUACAGUUAGGGAGCAUAAGAGUCUUCUUUCGCAAGCUUUAAGAAUCUUACUGACCUCAAACAUUUGACCUUUUGUAGUGUAAGUUGUUCCCUUUUAAAGUUGCCUUUAAAGCCUAGAUACAUUUGAUUUGUUGGAUUAUGUAAAAACUGGUCAUUCAAAAUGCCUCUAGUCGAUCCUAAUUUACUGCACUCUGGAUUCAAGCAAAGCCAUAUACAGGAAGCCUGAGAAAUCCUUAUAAGCAAUUUGGUGGCCUUUUGAGACUGCCAUGAUAUGACUGAGUGUUUACUAUGUUGUGUUUAUGUGAGUUACUGUGUGAAGAAGCACCUUCACCCUGACUGGGAUAAUUUUAUAUAGUUCUCUGGGUUAUUCGGGGGGUGGGGGUAUGUGAAAAAAAACGGAUUGGCAACGUGUUUUUUUGGUGGGGGUGAAGGUUUGUUCAGCAUGCCUGUGUUGUGAGAUUUUGGAGGGACUGUUAAGCAGACUUUGAAAAGCAAAGAUUAGUAUAUUAUAAAUUCACUUCCAAUUCUUAAAAUUAUCUGCCCUGAAAAAGAUGAAGAGAUGGAAUGGUCUCUCAAAUAUCCUUGAAGCAUUAGGCCAAUCCUUUACCAACAUCUAAUUGGAUCUUCGACAGAGGAGUACGAGAAGUUUGCAGGCCUUAUGGACCUUAUUUUAAUAUAGAUGUCCCUCAGCAAGUCUGUCCGCAGCUGAUUUACCUCAGUUUUGAAGCAGCAGGUCCCCUACAGAAGUGCUUUCUGAUCCGGUGAAGGUCAUGUGGCAUCUCCCAGAACAGCUCUGUGGCUCAGAUGUCUAGAGUCUGUUGAUCCAACCGAUUCUAAAUGCCUCAUCUUGUCAUUUACAUUUGUCUUUUUAGACCGAAAAUGUACACCUAGCAUUUUUUUAAAUUCAACCAAAAAGAGCUAUUUGUCUUUUGGGUAGGAGAGUAAAGAUGAGCUGUUGAAUUCUUUCUGAACUCAGUUUCCUCCUCUUACACUGUCUCUCUCUUGCAGUCCCCUGGUGCAGGUGAUGAUGUGCGCUUCAUGGAUGAUGCCUCCAGUAACCCAGGUGACUUCCUUGGAUAAAUGCUCUUCUAAUAUUGAUCCAGAAGUUCCCGUGGCCACCACAUCUGCUCUAGAGGAGAUGGCUCUCUACAGUAACAAGCGCAAACUACGACAGGGCCGCCGCAGCCUGGAGGCUCCUGUGCCCACGUAACCGUACACUCACACACUAAUGCAUCUGAACUGUGAAGAUAAAACACACAUAGUGAUCAUCUUAUACUAAAAGAUGUACACAGAUAUUAAACCACUCUUAUUUCAGUGCCGGCAACACAGGUUGGGAGGUGAGCUGAUGGGCUUCUCUUGUCUGGUCUUGCCUUUUCGGUUGAAAAGGAUUGCUAUGACAGGUCCAGGGGAUGGCUGAUUCUUUUACCCAUUGUACUCAAUUUUUCUGUCAGUCACCAUUUUAGAAGCAGAAUUGUUUUGAGAUGCGGUGGGGUUUUCUAAACACUUUGGAAAAAUUCUCUAGAAAAUGUUCUGGGUGAAAUGUGGAAAGGCAGAAAAGGGGAUUUUUAAAUGUAUCCGUGUUCAUGUUUUGCAGACAACACACUGCUACCUUCACUGCCCAUGUAAACCAGAAUUUCACUUUUUUUUUGUUUUAAUUCACUCUCAGAAAGAAAAGCUUUUAUUCCUUUUACAUGUAAUUUAUUAAUGUAAUAUACUGUUUUUAAUCUAUGGGAAUCCAGUACAAUAGAGGAACAAAUUGAGGCUUUUUGACAUGUGUAUAAGCUGAUUACUUGUUAUUUCGUGAUGAAUUUUGAGUUUUGGGAUUGGGAUACUUUUUCUUGCACGCAACAUUUUAAGAUUGUAAACGAGGCCUUGGCGUAAAGCUUUAUUUCCAUUUUAAAUCCAUAUCAGUUUUUUCAAAACAGAAUUCUCUUUUAAGAUGAUGCAAAUGAAUGUAAUAUUUUUGAAAGGUUGCAUCUGACCUAAUUCAAAGAUCUGUUCUAGACCUUUUCGGAAUGUGUAUGAUCAUGCCAUAUCAUAAAGACUGACCUACUAUAUUGAGUAGUGUCAUUCGAAACCUUUUGGUUAAUCUCUGGUCUUCCUUGACUGGACUAGGAGAGUAAAAUGAAGUGGAUAAUGUUUCCCUAAGACUUUUGUUUUUGUUCCUUUGGUGAUCUAAAUCACCUAAAAUGCGUUCUCCAUUUUUUUUUUUUUCUACUCCUUGUUCUGGGCCAUGUUGUAUAUCUAUAAAUUGAAUCAUUCCCUUUGCCACACUGAGUGACCAGAGUGGAGAAUUUCACACUGACAAACACUCAACUCUCCAUAAACAUUUGGUACCAUUUUGGGAGUGUGAGGAGACAAUUAAAUCAUCUGAGAACAAUUGGUCUCUAUUACUAUCUACAAAUCUUCCUCAUAUCUUUUCUUUCUCUUGCUCUGACAGGUGUGUGAAGGUAGUAGGCGUUUUCUAAUCUACAUUUUAAUUAGUUGAACUUAUAAAGCCACUAAAAAGCUAAUUUUGUGAAUAAUGUAUAAAUGCUUAAAAAAAGCAGCAAAAAUCAGAGUUGAAUCUGAGCCUUUCUGCCCCGAGACCAAACUAAAGUCUGGAGGGUGUAGAUGAUUCUACCAGGGUCUUGACUGACUGAGUCCCAGUGUGUAUAUUGGUUUGUUGCUUAUUGCAGUUUUAGUGUCAAUCCUGUGUGAGGACUAAGAUGAUAUACUUUUAUUAUUCCUUUAAAUAAACGUUUUAUUUCACUGUUCUCAAAUCAGUUGUUCACCACCCUGGCUGCCAUCAACACUGUGUCCCAAUGAACCUGUUAAACAUAUGAAAUAAUCUUUUUUUUUUUUUUUUUUUUUUUUACUAAUCUUAGCUUUCGUGUUGCUCUCAUUAACUGAAAUUCAGUUUUGGUUAAUAACAGUUUGGGAUUGCUCAUCAUUUUUUAUAUAGUUUGAGAAAAAAAGAGAAGUUGGUUUUCUGUAACCAAUGAAAUAUUGGGAUUCACUACAUUUUUACUUUUUCAGAGCAAAAGACUUUGAGCUCUUAUUGUUUUUCUGUCUUGGUGGGGAGGAUUUGUUUUUGUUUGUUUGUUUUUUUGCUAAAGGGGGUGGGACAAAAGGUCUGGGAAUAUAGCUCAUUCAGGACUGUAACUAGUGAAUUUGUACAACCAAAGAAGUCUAUUUUGUGGUUCAGGAAUAAUAAAGUUUACUUUUCAUUUAA